CUAACUUAAGUGUUUGCCCUGGAGCUUGCAAUAUACAUUUACAGUUUUCCAAGCACAUUGUCAAAUAGUACUGUAUUGCUUCAUGGGUUGUGUAAGUACUUUAUAAUAACAAAAUAUUCCUGUUUCCUUGCUUCUGUCCUUUUCUAUCUUGUCAUUCAUUUCACUUAUACAUAGGCAUACGCAAGCAGAUACAUCAUUGCUAUUAUUUUGAACUGUUACCUUUUAGCUGAAUUAAAAAUAAGAAAAAUAAAAGUUUUUAUUUUGCCUUCACUUGUUCUCUCAUGUUCUUCCUGAGUUUCUGACCUAUAUCAUUAUCCUCUUUCAUGAAAUUAUUUUAAUGUGUCUUGCAAGGCAGGUCUACUGGCAACACAAGUCUUCAAUUUUUGUUUGUCUGAGAAUGUCUUUAUGUUUCUUUCACUCUAGAAGGAUAGUUUCACAUGGUAUAAAUUUUUAGGUUCAUGUUUUUUUUCUCUCAACACUUUAGUUUAAUUUCAUUCUACUCUCCUGUUUGCAUUGUUUCUAAGGAGAAGCUGGUCUUCUGUAGGCAAGGUGUUUUUUGCCUCUGGUUUCUUUCAAGAUUUUUUUCUUUGCUUUUGAUUUUCUGAAGCUUGAAUAUGAUAUGCUUAGAUUUUUAAAAAUUAUUUUUAGGUUUUUAGGGGCCUCAGUCUUAAUGUUAUCUGAGUUUUAUGGAUCUGUGGUUUGGUGUCUGAUAUGAACUUGGAAAUUCUUAGUCAUUAUUGUUUCCUUGUGUUACCAGUGUAUUUAAGUUACACCUUUUUUAGUUUCCUACAGUUCUUGAAUGUUCUACUCUUUCUUUUUCCUCUCUUUUUUUUCUUUGCUUUUCAGUUUUGGAAGUAGUUUCUGUUGUUAGACCCUUAAGCUCAGAGAUGCUUUCCUUAGCUAUGUUCAGUCUACUAAUGAAGCCAUUAAAGACAUUCUUCAUUUCUGUUAUGUUGCUUUUGAUUUCUAACAUUUCUUUUUAUCCUUUCUUAGAAUUUCCGUUUCUCUGCUUACAUUGUCUAUGUAUUUGCAUAUUGUCUACCUUUUUCAUAAAGCACCUAGCAUAUUAAUCAUAGUUUUAAAAAAUUCCCAGUCUGGUAACUCCAGAAUUCCUGACAUGUCUGUUUUUGAUACUUGCUCUGUCUCUUCAAGCUGUUUUUUGCCUUUUAUUAUGUCUUGUAAUUUUUUAUUGAAAGGUAUACAUGAUGUACUAGGUAAAAGGAACUGCUGCAAAUAGGCCUUUAGUGAUGUAGUUAUAAGGGAGGCAUUGUGUAGUUCUAGUAUUAGGUCCCAGUUUUUUGGUGAACCUGUGCUCCUGGACUGUGAACAUAACCAUUGUUUCUCAGUCCCCCACCCUUAUCCCUGUCACCUUUAGGUGGGACAGAAUGGUUAGAAAGGACUGGAAUUUGGUAUUUCCCUUCCCUCUUGUGAAAGGCUGAAGUGAACUGGAGUUGUUUACAGUACUUCUUUACCCACAGGUAGGUUAGGCUCUGGUAAAUUAGUUUCUGUUCAAGGCAGGCCUUGUUAAGAACUGAUUGCUCUGGCGUAUUUCAAAAUUGUUCUUUUUUCCUUCCCCCUACCAGAAGCACAAAGGGAUUUUUCUCUGAUAUUUACUGUAAGGGCAUAGUAGAGCUCCUGGAGGUAAAAUUCACAAGAGUGUCAGGGCCUCACAUGACUGGAUCCUCCUGGAGUUUUUAAUUGUCAUUUGUUGGCACUGAGUCUCCAGCAAUUUGUCAUUAUAGUUGAGGCUUUCUUACCCUGGCACUGGUUCCCAAGGAAGUUUCUGCUUGUGGGUUUCUGCUCUGAUGACUUGAGAUUUUUCUCUAUCUGCCUACCUGUCUCUCAAUUUUGGGGAACCGUGGUUUGCCCUGUGACCUCACUUCUCUGAAGGAUCUAACUACAGCUAUUGGUUUUUCAGUUUGCUUAGCUUUUUACUUGUUAGGAUGGAGUGGUGACUUUUAAUCUUCUUACAUGUAAAGAAGGAACAGGAGGCUGGGCACGGUGGCUCACACCUGUAAUCCCAGCACUUUGGGAGGCCGAGGCGGGUGGAUCACGAGGUCAGGAGAUCGAGACCAUCCUGGCUAACAUGGUGAAACCCUGUCUCUACUAAAAAUACAAAAAAUUAGCCGGGCAUGGUGGCGGGUGCCUGUAGUCCCAGCUACUCGGGAGGCUGAGGCAGGAGAAUGGUGUGAGCCAGGGAGGCGGAGCUUGCAGUGAGCCUAGAUCGUACAUGCCACUGCACUCCAGCCUGGACGACAGAGCGAGACUCUGUCUCAAAAAAAAAAAAAAAAAGAAGAAGAAACAGGAAGGAACAGGAAACUGACAGGCAGCAGCUUAAAGCCUGUUUAAAGGUUACAAGUUUUAAAGGGGUUAAAAAGAGAUUGGUUUGUGGGAAUUCGGAGGCUACAUCCUUUCAGAGAAUGAGUAGUUAGAGGGGAUAGCAAAUUAAAGGGAGUAGUUUUUUCAGAAUAGCAAAAGAUAAUAUUUGAUAAUGUUUUUUUAUUCUUAAUAGUAAAUAUUUAGCUAUUUUAUAAAUCAAUCAUUGAGGUUGGAUUUUUUGUUUUUACCCUAGUGUAUUUGAAAGUAAAUGAUGCUUUAUUUUCAAUAUUUGCUGAUGUAUUUAAUCAAAACCUAGAGAAUUGAGAUAGACAUUGUAUCAGAAGAAAGCAGUUUUGAACAAAGAGAGCGAAUUACUAGCCAGUUAACAAGUGUCAGCUGUUUUAUAAGCAUGGCAUAACACUUCCUAAAUUGUGCACUGCAUUGUUCAGUUAAAGGAAUUGGCGUUCUGUGACUUUUUGACAGUUAAAUAAUUUGAGAACUUCUGCAUUUUGGGCCUGUGCUCUUGGAAAUCCAGAAUGUACAUUAACUUAUUUAUGCCUAGUGUUCCAUUAAUGGAACGCUAAGCAUCUGGGAGUUCUUUAUAUCCUACUGCUCAAGGUCAUCGCCAAGGUCUGAUUUUUCACCCUCAAAAAAUUGCAACCUUAGACAUAAAUACAGGAGUCCUAUGAGUCAUUAAUAUACUAAACAAACUUUCUUGUUUAACUCUGCUUUUUCUAAACUUACAUGCUUAGUGAUCAUUCUUUGCAGGGCGUGUUUUGAGAAACAUAGUAAUAGCAAGUAGUUAAGUUUCUAUCUACCUGGUGUUCACAGUGGGAGUAGUAUAGAGGAAGAACCCAAGUUUAGCCUUUGGAAAACCUGAGUUUGUGGUUUUUAAUGCUUUUAGUGAAUCACUAUAUUGGAAAAGUUAAUUUAAGUUCCUCAUGAUUGUUUCCUUUUGUAAAAUAUAGUAACAUUUCUCCAUUUCUAAUUCACAGUGAUGCAGAUGUUUUAUAGUUACCAAAAAGGCUAUAAUAAAGUACUUACAUAUAAGAUUUAGUUUUGCCAAAGAACGAAACUGGAGGCAUCAUGCUACCCAACUUCAAGCUAUACCACAGAGCUCCUGUAACCAAAAUAACAUGGUACUGGUACAAGAACAGAGACAUACACCGAUGGAACGGAAUAGAGAACCUGGAAAUAAGACCUCACACCUACAACUAUCUGAUUUUUGACAAACUUGACAAAAACAAGCAAUGGGGAAAGGACUAUUAAAUGGUGCUGGGAUAACUGGCUAGCCAUAUGCAGGUUGAUUGAAACUAGACCCUUUCCUUACACCAUAUGCAAAAAUUAAGAUGAAAUAAAACUAAAAUAUAACACCCCAUACUAUAAAAACCCUGGAAGACAACAUAGGCAGUACCAUUCAGGACAUAGGCCUGGGCAAAGUUUCAUGAGGAAGAUGGCAAAAGCAAUUGCAACAAAAGCAAAAAUUGGCAAAUGGGAUCCAGUUAAAUGAAAGAGCUUCUGCACAGCAAAAGUAACUAUCAACAGAGUAAACAGACAACCCACAGAAUGGGAGAAAAUUUUUGCAAACUACAUAUCUGACAGAGGUCUAAUAUCCAGCAUCUAGAAGAACUUAAAACACAUUUACGAGGAAAAGAAUCCAUUAAAAUGUGGGCAAAGGACAUGAAGAGACAUGUUUCAAAAGAAGACGUACUUGCGGGCAAGAAUCAGAUGAAAUAAAGCUCAACAUCACUGAUCAUUAGAGAGAUGUAAAUCAAAGCCACAAUGACACCAGUCAGCAUGGGUGUUAUUAAGAAGUCAGAAAAUCACAGAUGCUGGCGAGGUUGUGGAGAAAAAGGAAUGCUUAUACGCAGUUGGUGGGAGUGUAAAUUAGUUCAACUGUUGUGGAAGACUGUGUGGAAAUUCCUCAAAGAUCUAAAGAUAGAAAUACCAUUCAACCCAUAAAUCUCAUUAGUGGGUAUAUAACCAAAGGAAUAUAAAUCACUCUAUUAUAAAGACACAUGCACAUGUAUGUUCAUUGCAGCACUCUUCACGGUAGCAGAGACAUGGAAUCAGUCUAAAUGCCUGUCAAUAAUAGACUGGAUAAAGAAAAUGUGGUACAUAUAUACCAUGGAAUACUAUGCAGCCAUUAAAAAGAACAAGAUUAUGUCCUUUGCGGGGACAUGGAUGAAGGUGGAAGCCAUUAUCCUCAGCAAACUAAUGCAGGAAGAGAAAAGUCAAAUACUGCAUGCUCUCACUUAUAAGUGGGAGCUGAAUGAUCUGAACACAUAGAGGGGAACAACACACACUGGGGCCUAAUUGAGGGUGGAGGGUGGUAGGAGGGAGAGGACCAGGAAAAAUGACUAAUAGGUACCAGGCUUAAUACCUGGGUGAUGAAAUGAUCUGUACAAUAGACUCCCAUGACACACAUUUACUUAUGUAACAAUCCUGCACAUGUACCCCUGAACUUAAAAGUUGAAAAAAAAAAUUCAGUCUUGCCUUUGGUUUUUAGCAUUUUUACUAUGAUAUGCCUAGAUGUGGCCUUUUUUUUAAGAAAAAAAGAAAAAUCUUGCUGGGGUAUAUAGAAUGCUUGAAUCUUUGCCUUAACAUUUUUCAUUGAGUUUGGAAGAUUCUUGACCAUUUUUUCUUCAUACUUUGCUUUUGUUCUAUUCUCUAUUGCCUCCUUUCUCGUACUGUACAUGUAUGUCUGCGUACCCUCCGCCACCUCCCCUUUUUUUGAGACAGGGUCUCACUCUGUCACCCAGACUGGAGUGCAAUGGUACGAUCAUAGCUUACUGCAUACUUGAACUCCUGGGCUCAAGCAGUCCUCUUGCCUCAGCCUCCUGAGUAGCUGGGGACUAUAGGUGUGCGCCACUGUGUGCAGCGUAUUUGUUUUAGAAAACCUUUUUUGUAGAGUUGGGGGUCUUGCUUUGUUGUCCAGGCUGGUAUUGAACUCCUGGCUUCAAGGAUCCUCCCUCGUCAGCCUCCUGAAGUGUUGGGAUAACAGGUGUGAGCCACUUUGCCCAGCCCGUUAGUCAUUUUUUAAAAAACGAUGUCCCAUUCAUCUUUUGUAUUCUUUUCUGUAUUUUCUUUUUUUCUGCAUUACGGUUUGACAGGUAUAACUUUUCUGUAUUUUCUGUCCUUGUUUUCUUUUUAUGCUCUAGUAAGUGUAUUUUCUAUGAAACUUUGCAAAUUAUUAGCUUCUUAAAAAUAUGCCUAAUCUGAGGCAGGAGAAUGGCGUCAACCCGGGAGGCGGAGCUUGCAGUGAGCCGAGAUCGUGCCACUGCACUCCAGCCUGGGCAACAGAGCGAAACUCUGUCUCAAAACAACAACAACAACAACAACAACAACAACACAAAACUGCCUAAUCUGCUGUUAAUAUUAUAUUUAGCUCUUAAUUUUACAAAUUUGAUUACUUUUUAAAUAUUCAAAUUUUAUCAUUAAAUUCCAUCUUUAUUUUGUGUUUUCCUGUAUUUUCUUGAAUAACUGUUAUAGCCUUCUGUCUGUAAUUUUAAAAUUUAUUCCCCUUUGGGUCUGACAUUGAUAAUUUGUGACUUUUUCUUCUUUGAUCAGUCUUAACAAAAUGUUGACUUUAAUAGUCUCUCCAAGAACCAACUUUUGUUUUUUUCCUGAAGUUUUAUAUCUUUGUUUCAUUGAUUUACUUGUUUGUCUUCUUGUAUACUCUCUCGGCGUGCGUUACAUUUUAAUUAAAUGCCAGACAUUGUGUUUGACAAUUUUAUAGGUUAUCUGAAUGAUCAUUUGCUGUAGAGGAUGGACGGCUUAGCCACUCCUGUGUUAGGCAGAUAGAAUGCAGUUAGAUCACCUUAAUCACAAAACUUUUGAAUACUGCAGUUUGCUAUGCAGUCUUUCCUUAGCUUCUUAUCUGUGUAGCUUCACAAUUCAGUAGAUAUCGCUGGAGGGAAAUAGUUAAGCCUGUGGUUCAGUUCUCUGUUUCUUUUUUAUGACCAGAAUCCUGGCCCUUCAAGUCUCUUAAUAUUUGUCUCACCAGCUUUGUGAGACUGUUGAAAGUUCUGCUGGAUUGUUUUCCUCCUGAGAAUUCAUGCAAAAGACCCAGACAGAAGACCUGGGUCUUUUGCAUGAAUUCUCAGCCUCUUGCUUUGUGACCACAAUAUGCAAAUAAAUAGUUUGAGAGAAAAAGUGGCAGAGUGGCUGCUGAAUGGCACCUUCUUUAGGAUUCUAUUUGUUUUGAAAUGUUGGUUCCUUAAGUUCUGAUUGCCUCCAUAUUGAGCUCUUGGAUGAUUUAAACAGACUGAUCUUUUUAUUUUUUAUUUUUUGUGUUUUAUUUGUCUUUUCUAGCAGUUCUUGAUUGGAGAUUAUUCUGCUGCAAGUAAUGUGACAAGUAUUAUAACUAUUAUUAAAAAACAAAAUAAUGAACAAUAUAGGAAAAAGUCUUUACUCCCUCAUACCUCCAUAAUCUCACUGUUCUUGGUAGUAACCAUUGCUGUUGUGUAUAUAUAUGUAUAAUGUACAUGCAUUUGUAUAACACAUAAGUAUACGUUUACCUAUGUGUAACAUACAGUAAUGUUAGCAUAAUGACAUUUUGGUCAGUCCUAUAGGAUUAUAAUGCCAUAUUUUUAUUGUGUCUUUUCUGUAUUUAGAUAUGUUUAGAUACACAAAUACCACUGUGUGAAAAUUGCCUAUAGUAUUCAGUAUAGCAAUAUGCUGUACAGGUUGGUAGCCUAGAAACAAUAUGCUAUACCAUGUGUAGUAGGCCAUGGCAGUUAGAUUUGUGUAUGUAUACUUUAUGAUGUCUGCACAAUGAUGAAAUUGCCUGAAGAUAAAUUUCUUAGAAUGUAUCCCUGUCGUUAAGCAAUGCAUAAGAUUAAGUUUUCUAAUAGGCAAUGUAUAUUUUCACAGAGGGGAAAAAUACAACAUAUUAAAAAAGGUACUCUUUAAUUAAAAAGAUCCCUUUCUGCCACUGGCUCUCAGUUUCCCAGUUAGACUUUCUAGGGUCAAUACCAAUUCUGUAUAUAUUGGUUUAUUUAAGGGAUGACAUUUUUAGAACCUGUCUUAUCCCAGGCACUAUUUUAGGUGGUUAGGAUACAUGAAUAAACAGAUUAAGAUGACUGUUGCUCUGUAGGUUAUAUUUUGCAGAGAGGAGACAUACAAUAAAUAUGAUACAUACAUAAAUAGUAUAGAAUUCUAGAAGGUAGUAAGUGCUAUGGCAAAAAGAAAAGAGCAAUCAGACAGGAUAGUAGGGCACUGGAGAGGAGAAGUUGCCAUUUUAAAUAGGGUAGUCAGUAUAGGACUCAUUGAGUGACAUUUUUGUGCAAAGACUUGAAGAUAAGUAUAUGGUAAUACACACAGUGUGUUUGUGUACUUCUGAAUGUUUAAACUGCCUUGCUCUUUUAAGUAACCACAUAGUUUUCUAUUGGAUGUACAUAAUUUAUUUACUCUUUAGUGAUUAAGUUUUAUCUAGUCUUAUGAUACUGUAAACAGCCACAGUGAUGAUCCUUUCUUGUGUUAUGUGAGCACAUGCACAUCUUGUAUUUUGCCUGCUUUCAUAUAUUUUGUACUGUCAAAUCUCAGUCUUUGUAUAUUUCUUUGAUUUUUGGUUUUUGUUUUGGCUUUUAAGCAAAGAUUAUCAUAUAUCAGUAUUUUAUAUAUAAACCUAUAGUUUUUAUAGUAUUAAAAAAAUACUUUAACUUGUUUAACAUUUAAUUUGGCAUGGUUUGGGAUUCUAAGUUGAUAACUUUCCAAGCAUCUUACUGAAUGUUGUAUCAGUAUUUGUUGAAUAUUUUUUGUGAUAUGCUUUCUAUUAUACAUUAAAUUUUUAUAUGUGAUAAGA